rnacentral:rRNA from 1 species
CCUACGGGUGGCAGCAGUGAGGAAUAUUGGUCAAUGGGCGUAAGCCUGAACCAGCCAAGUCGCGUGAGGGAUGAAGGUUCUAUGGAUCGUAAACCUCUUUUAUAAGGGAAUAAAGUGUGGGACGAGUCCUGUUAUGUAUGUACCUUAUGAAUAAGGAUCGGCUAACUCCGUGCCAGCAGCCGCGGUAAUACGGAGGAUCCUAGCGUUAUCCGGAUUUAUUGGGUUUAAAGGGUGCGUAGGCGGCCUUGUAAGUCAGCGGUGAAAGUCAGUGGCUCAACCAUAGAAUUGCGGUUGAAACUGGGAGGCUGGAGUAUGUUAGAGGUAAGGGGAAUGCGUGGUGUAGCGGUGAAAUGCUUAGAUAUCACGCAGAACCCCGAUUGCGAAGGCAGCCUACCGGGCCAUGACUGACGCUGAUGCACGAAAGCGUGGGGAUCAAACAGGAUUAGAUACCCGUGUAGUC